rnacentral:misc_RNA from 1 species
UGAUUCCUAUAUAUAUAGAAAUUAAUUUCAGGAACAGAAUUCUGUAUUAAAGAUGAUGAUGAUGAUGUUGUUCCUGAGGAAAAUAAUUUGAAUUAUUUCAAUAAUGAAGAACUUCUGAAAGCUUUAAAUCGAGAAUGUUUAUAUUUUCAAAAUGAAAAUGAUGAUGAAAAUAAUAAUGAUGAUUUUGAUGUUAAAACUCCUUUUGAAAAGAUGAUGAAAACAAUGACACCACUUGUAGAAAAUCAAAUUUUUAAAAAAGAAUUAAAGACGGGAUUUGGAAUAGAAUUGCCAAGUAAGGCAUUCGUUACCAUCCAUUAUAAUGCUUACUUAGAAUAUAGUGAUGAGCCAUUUGAUUCAACUAGACUUCGAGGCACUCCUUUAAAAUUUGUAUUAGGUGAAAAUAGAGUCGUUGAAGGGUUAGAUAUUGCAGUGGCUACAAUGAAAAAAGGAGAAAUAUCACAGUUCUUAAUAAAAUAUUUGUAUGCAUAUGGAGAAAUGGGAAGCCCUCCAAGAAUUCCUCCAAGUGCAACAAUUUUAUAUGAAGUUGAACUUUUGAGUUUUUUAAAUAAUGCUCCAGCUAUUGAAUAUGAUGAACUUUCACCUGAAGAGAAAAAACAAUUAUCUUUUAGUGAAAGAUUAAAAGUUGUCAGAUCAGAACAUGAAGUUGCAAAUGAUUAUUUUAAGCGAAAACUUUAUCCUAGUGCUUGGAAUAAGUAUAAAAAAGCAGUCAGACUAAUAGAAGAUAUUAAUGUUGCAAAUGAAGAAGAAGAUAAUGAAAGAAAUGAUUACCUUCUUGAACUCUAUUGUAAUAUCAGUUUAUGUUACAUAAAGCAACAAGAUUAUAAAUUUGCUGUUAUAUAUGCAAAAAAGGCUUUAAAUAUUGAUCCAAAGAAUACAAAAGGAAAUUAUCUAUGCGGUAAAGCACUUCGGAAUUUGGGAGAAUAUGCCGAAUCUAAAAAAUAUCUUCAAAGAGCAAGAGAAUGCAAUCCAUCUAAUGAGGUAAUAAAUGAAGAAUUGAAACAAUUAAGUAUCCAAGAAGUAAGAUAUUCAAUUUUAGAGAAGAAAUUUUGUAAAAACAUCUUCAAAAGUAGUAACAAAAAAGAUGAUGAUGAUGAUGAUGAUGAUGAAAAACCAACAUUCAAUUAUGAAGUUAGUGAUGAUUUUAAAACUAUAGUUGCAGAUUGUAUGAAAAAAUUUAUAGAUGAUGAUAAUGAACAAGAAUUUCCUUUUGGUAGUGGUUUUUCAUCUUCAGAAAUUGCUUGCAUGAAAGAUAUGGCAAAAGAAUUUGGAUUGUAUUGCGUGGAACAAAAAAAUGGACCAAUUAAGCAAAUGAAAGUGACAAAAGUAAAACCCUCUAAAUAAGAGGAAGAAAAAAUUUGUUUAAUUAGUUCAAAAGAUAAAUGAAACGUGUGUGUGAUUUUACAAAAUUUUGUAAAAUCUCAACAUAUUCCAACAAUUUUCCUUUAAUAAACAUGUUUAGAAAAUAACAAAUUAUAAA